GGCCUAAUAGCUCAGCUGCUUAGAGCGUCAUCAUGGCAUUGUGCAUUCGCUCGGUGUGUGUGUUGACACGGAAGUCUCGGGUUCGAUCCCCGCCCUGGCCA